GAGCCUCCUUUAAGGUGACGGGAACCCUCAGUGACAGUUUGACAGCUGGAGAACUCGCAGGCCGCUGUUUUCCUCCUCACACUCCUCUUGGUCCGUGGCAUCCUCUCAAGGUUGGCCUCCGGGGUGGGGGCCUCGGCAGGAGAACCCCUCAGAGAGUUUCGGGGGACUGAAGACGGCGGGGAGCCGGCUGGGAUGGCAAAGACUGGUGCGAAGGGCGCUCGGAGUCGAAAAGAGCACUGAUGGAGUGGCUGAGUGGCUAAACUCUCAGGCGGAAGAAAGGUGUCGACCCUCAGGCGAAGUGAAGCCCCUGGAGGAAAGGCGGGGGCUUAAAUAAGCAACGGGGCCUGGCGCAGUUAUGGUGGCAGAUAUCCCUAGGUCAACCAGUGCCCGCCACGUGUCCCACUCAC
rnacentral:lncRNA from 1 species